rnacentral:misc_RNA from 1 species
GGGGCAAUGUAGCCAUAAGACCCAGCAAACCAUGAAUAAUUUGCUUCUGAGUUGGAGCCAGAAUCCUCCACUAGUGCCUUUGCCAGUCCAAAAUCCCCCAGAUGUGCCUCCAUAUUGGAAUCCAGCAGCACAUUGCUUGAUUUGAUAUCUCUAUGGACGAGCCUUGGCACACAGUCAUGGUGGAGGUACUCCACUCCCUCAGUUAAUCCAACGGCUAUCUUCAACCUUGCCUCCCAGUCCAGGCUUUUCUUCUUCUUGAUAUUAACUGGUGAUUGUCGAUGCAACCAAUCCCACACACUUCCAUUCUCCAUAUACUCGUAUAUCAAAAGAUUAGAACCAGCUCCUUUGUUAGUACAGUAUCCCAGUAACUUCACCAAAUGCCUGUGCUUGAUACUCCCAAGUGUCGUUACUUCUCUCAUGAAGCUUUUGUUAAGCAAAAAAUCAUCUUUACACAGAAUCCUCUUAACUGCUACUGUUUCUCCAGUGGGCAAUUCAGCUUUGUAGAUUGUCCCAGACCCUCCUGAACCGAUGAUGAACUCGUCGCUCAAAUUAUUAGUAGCUUCCAUAAUGUCUUCCCAUCUGAAAUCUCUCUUCGCAAUGCCAUGCUGGAAUAGUGGUCUGCGCUGUGCUUUGGAAGAAGUGGAAGAGUAAAUGCAGUUCAGUUCACUUCCUCUUCUCAAAGAUUCUCGCUUCUGUUUGAAGAAGAGACCAAGUCCAAGUACCAAUAGAGCAAUUGCAGCUAAGGUUGUAAUUGCUGAGAUUACCACCACCGUUGAUUCACUUAGCCCAGACCGUUGAUUGCCAGAAUCAAAACCAUUGCAGUGAUUAAGAGGGCUUCUGCAAAGUUGCAGGUUUCCUUCGAAUGCUUCAGCAGGCCAGUGUGAGAAUUGCUUGCCUAAUGUCCCUUGAAGGUUGUUGAAGGAGAGAUUAAGCCUGCCUAGGCUGCUCAUCUGCCCAACCUGGGGAGGGACUUCUCCCACAAGUUGGUUGUGGGACAGAUCAAGAGCUUCAAGUUUGGACAAUGUUCCAAUAGAAGGUGGGAUUUGACCACUGAAAUUAUUAUAGCUAAGGUCCAACAUGCUUUGAAGAUUCUGGAGCUGGCCAAGCUCAACAGGUAUUUCGCCGCUGAAGCUGUUACGUGACAAGCGAAGUUCAUACAACUUACUUAACCUACCAACGGCCUGGGGGAUUGGGCCUGAUAAUUGGUUGUCGUUAAGGUUGAGAACUUCAAGGGAUUCCAAUCUACCAAUCUCAACAGGAAGAGUUCCAUUCAGUGAAUUGCCAUCAAGAGAAAGGACCAAUAAUUUAGAACAAUUGAAUAGCUCUGGAGGAAGGGACCCAGUAAACUGGUUGGAGGAGAGCUUUAGCUCCCCUAAUUGUGGUAACAUGCCA